CUUGGUCAUAAAGGAAGUAAAAGUCGUAACAAGGUCUCCGUAGGUGAACCUGCGGAGGGAUCAUUAACUUGUAGGAUGUGACUGACAGAAAUGUCAUCUCAUCUAUCAAACCAAAACAAAUCAAACCCGCGAACUAGAGUAAUUCAUUUUACUCAAUGCCAGCCCCGGAUAGAAAAGCGUAACGGAGCAUUAAGUUGCUGACCAGUGGCGUGUCUCCGCUUGGAGUGGCGUAUAUUUGUUGACAGGUCAAACUGUUAGCACUUUGCGCCUGGGGUCGCCACCUCGUCUUAGUAGAUUCGGACAAUUUUUUCAACACACCUAUUUCACCCACUCGUAUAACCAAUUGACUGAAACAAAGGCGAUUGUUGAGCGGCGUAACAACCCUCAGCUAUUACCUACACCUUCGAGUUUAUUCGAAAUCUAAGCACAACUCUUAGCAACGGAUAUCUUGGUUCUC
rnacentral:misc_RNA from 1 species